GAUGAACGCUAGCGGCAGGCCUAAUACAUGCAAGUCGAACGGACUUGGGCAGCAAUGUUCAAGUUAGUGGCGCACGGGUGCGUAACGCGUAUGCAACCUACCUUUUCCAGGGGGAUAGCCUUCCGAAAGGGAGAUUAACACCGCAUAAGAUCAGUUCCUGGCAUCAGGGAGUGGUGAAAUCUACGGAGGGAAAANAUGGGCAUGCGUCCGAUUAGCUAGUUGGCGGGGAGUCGGCCCACCAAGGCUGAGAUCGGUCGGGGACCUGAGAGGGCGAUCCCCCACACUGGCACUGAGAUACGGGCCAGACUCCUACGGGAGGCA
rnacentral:rRNA from 1 species